GCAACUAUGGUGUAGCGGUUAGCACAGCAUGGCAAUAUUACACUCGGAGUUUCGGAGCAUGUAGUCAUGCAGGCUUGGGUUCGAAUCCCGAUAGUUGCG